ACUAGCGCUCUGCGCGCGCCGCAGGCUGUAGCCGGCCGGGGUCGCAGCACGCCUCCCCGCUCCGCCCCCUCGCGCGCCGCCCGGCGCCCCGCGCACGCGCGCCGCCCCCUGCUCCUUCAGCGAGGGUCUGCGGGGAGCGCGCGUCCAACGGUCAGCGCCCCUCAGUGCACAGUCCCAGCGGCCUCGCUGGGCCGGCGCCUCCCGACCAAGUCUCUACGGUCGCCCUCCCCUCGGGGUGGCCACGAGGGACUCCUCCUCCUCUUCCUCCUCCCCUCCCUCCCCCUCGGUCUCCGCCUCCUCCUUCUCCUCCUCCUUCACUGCCCCGACCUCCCGCCCCAGGUUCCACGCGCUCUGAUGCCCGCCCCGCUCACCCAGAGAAGCCCUGGGCCAGACGUCCACAACCCAAGGGGUUAUGGGGAGGCCUCUGCUCCCUGGACACAGUAGUUCUCAAACUGGACAGUGUCAAUCAGCAUCCUCCGGGAGGUCUGGGGUGGCCCCGGAAAUACAUGUGUCCCACCUAUCCCAGCAGGUAAUGAUGAAACUCCUGCUCUGGUCCGGGCUACCGGUGAACAGCGCCCAGCGGGCCGGGCCCCCAACCUCGCUCCUGAGCCUGAACAUCCCCCCAACCCCACCGUGAGAAUUCAGCGAAGAGUAAAAGCUGGAAAAAGUUGCGUGUCUUAGGCUAAGCAGAACAAAGUGGGGUGACGGCUCCCCGGCUAGGAACAGAGAUGCCCUUAGGGAGCCCUCUGAUGGAAGAGCUCUCCGCUUAAGAAGGUCACCACUCCCUUACACUCAGCCCCCCUCAAUCUGAUUCCCUGCUAUGCCUGCCAUCACCACUGGCCAGUUUUACCACAUGCUUCUCAAGACCCAAGGCACAAUAGGCAUAAAGUUGUCCUGAAAAGGACAAGAGGAGUGUCAGAAGUAGGAAUGGCAGUUGAAGGAGCUUCGUCUGCCAGCAGAAAGCUGAAAUGACAGGAAGACAGAAUGUCUUGUCAAGGGUCACCCCAGGAGGAGGAGUAAAUUCCCCAAAAAGCGGAACAUAUUUUUAUGAUUUAAUUAAUACAAUUUCUCUCAAUG
rnacentral:lncRNA from 1 species